GGGGCUCUGAGAGGUUGACCCCGCACAUUGGUACUGAGACACGGACCAAACUCCUACGGGAGGCAGCAGUGAGGAAUAUUGGUCAAUGGACGCAAGUCUGAACCAGCCAUGCCGCGUGCAGGAAGACGGCUCUAUGAGUUGUAAACUGCUUUUGUACGAGGGUAAACGCUCUUACGGGUAAGAGCCUGAAAGUAUCGUACGAAUAAGGAUCGGCUAACUCCGUGCCCGCAGCCGCGGUAAUACGGAGGAUCCAAGCGUUAUCCGGAUUUAUUGGGUUUAAAGGGUGCGUAGGCGGUUUGAUAAGUUAGAGGUGAAAUACCGGUGCUUAACACCGGAACUGCCUCUAAUACUGUUGGACUAGAGAGUAGUUGCGGUAGGCGGAAUGUAUGGUGUAGCGGUGAAAUGCUUAGAGAUCAUACAGAACACCGAUUGCGAAGGCAGCUUACCAAACUAUAUCUGACGUUGAGGCACGAAAGCGUGGGGAGCAAACAGGAUUAGAUACCCUGGUAGUCCACGCAGU
rnacentral:rRNA from 1 species